GAUGAACGCUGGCGGUAUGCUUAACACAUGCAAGUCGAACGGUCACUUCGGUGAUAGUGGCGGACGGGUGAGUAACGCGUGAGAAUCUGUCUUCAGGUCGGGGACAACAGUUAGAAAUGACUGCUAAUACCGGAUGUGCCUUUGGGUGAAAGAUUUAUUGCCUGAAAAAGAGCUCGCGUCAGAUUAGCUAGUAGGUGGUGUAAGAGACUACCUAGGCUCCGAUCUGUAGCUGGUCUGAGAGGACGAUCAGCCACACUGGAACUGAGACACGGUCCAGACUCCUACGGGAGGCAGCAGUGGGGAAUUUUCCGCAAUGGGCGAAAGCCUGACGGAGCAAUACCGCGUGAGGGACGAAGGCUUUUGGGUCGUAAACCUCUUUUCUCAAGGAGGAUGAUGACGGUACUUGAGGAAUAAGCAUCGGCUAACUCUGUG
rnacentral:rRNA from 1 species